rnacentral:rRNA from 1 species
UACGUAGGGGGCUAGCGUUGUCCGGAAUCAUUGGGCGUAAAGAGCGUGUAGGCGGCCUGGUAAGUCCGCUGUGAAAGUCGGGGGCUCAACCCUCGAAUGCCGGUGGAUACUGUCGGGCUAGAGUGCGGAAGAGGCGAGUGGAAUUCCUGGUGUAGCGGUGAAAUGCGCAGAUAUCAGGAGGAACACCAAUUGCGAAGGCAGCUCGCUGGGACGUAACUGACGCUGAGACGCGAAAGCGUGGGGAGCAAACAGG